GCUUUGCGUCAGCGUGUUUUAAGUCGAGGAGGAGCACACUGUGCUAGUGCGGGUAGUGUGCACUGCAAUAUAUGUAUAUAUUGGAGAUUUUCAUCAUUAGCUGGAUCAUUUAUGCAUAAGUAGACGGUUUUCGCUUACGUGUGUUCUGCGCUAGAGGUUGAUUGAUUGAUUGAUUGACAAACUAACGACUAACUUGAAUCUUUUAAUAUGCUUCAACAGAAUGCCACUUCAGAUCUGCUAAAUACACAGGAAAAAAAUGUAUCAAACCCUGCACCGAAAUGUGUUUCCAACAAUGAUAACAGCGAAUCGAGCAGACGAAAAGGUCCUGAUGGGCCUGAGAGCAUCCGUAUUGGUGUAUACUGUCUCUUCGUAGCGUUUCUGUGUUCGGCUGGGUUCCGAUCAGCCGGCUUUCUUUACAUGGGCAUCAUGGACACAUACAUUGUGUCCCACAAAGACGCUUCGUGGCCGCUUAGCGUUAUUGGAGCUAUCACGAACCUGGCUGGUGUUAUAGCUGGUCCAUUAUGCCAGCGGUAUCCGACAAGGCCGGUUAUGUGUUGCGGGGCUGUGGCCGCUUCUGCAGGGAUGAUUCUAUCGUUUUGGGCACAAAAUAUCGCCCAGCUGACUCUGAGUUUGGGCAUCCUUUAUGGUUUCGGUUGUGGAGUAGUAUUCACCGGUAUCAACGUUGCCUUGUCGCAGCAUUUUGACAAAUACCGCGCGGUUGCCUACGGCGUUGUCUACGCAGGAAGUACAAUGGCGUCAUUCGUUUUUCCUAAUCUGCUCUUAGCCCUUAGCUUGGAGUAUUCCUUCAGGAAUGUCCUACUGAUUUUUGGGGGCAUCAUUACAAAUAUGUUCGCGCUCGCGCUCUGUAUCAAAGAGCCUUCCUGGACAGCGGCCAGACCGUCCAAAACAAUCGAGCAGAAGGAUUCCGUCAAAAAGGCAACCAUACGUGAAGCAUUUGACAUCUUUAGAAAACCGAUUUUCUAUGUGCUCCUUGUUUCAAACAUUUUUUUUCAGUAUGGUUUCGACGCAUUUAUGACUACACUGGUGGAUUUUGCUGUUGAGCGUGGAGCAACCCUUCAACAAGCCGUCAAUCUGUUACCCUGGUUUUCUGCAGCUGAUGUUGUGGGUCGUGGACUGUUUCCAAUUAUGGCCGACCGAGGUCUAAUCGAUCGAACCAAGUUUAUUAUGACGUGCUAUAUACUUACUGGCGUAUUUACGCUCCUUUUACCGGCGACAAAUACCUAUACAGAGCUGGUCCUGUGCAUUCUCCUGAUGGGAUCCUUCUGUGGCUGCGCGGCCGUCAUGUUCCUGUGUGUGGUGAGCGACAUUAUCGGUGUGAGUCGAUUUCCUCUAGCCAUUGGCACGCUCGGUUUGACAAAUGGAGGUUUCUACUUCACCAAGCCAUUUUUCUUUGGAUACUUUUGUGAUGUCGUUCAGUCGUAUGACGGAAUGUUCCAUAUGACCGGAACGCUAACUUUAUUCGUAGGGUUGGUGUGGCUGUGCAUCAUUGGGUCUAAAAGAAGUCGAAAGCAUAGUUUCUUCCUAGGGACUUCGUCAUGCUGUAAGUUUUUGAAGGUCUUACCGGUUCAGGACAACCGGAAUCAACUGCCUGAGGUGACAGUCAGUGCCAUCAAUCUGCAGCACAAUGACAAUCUAAAAGCACAGUCAAGCCACCGGAUCGUCUAAAAUAACCCUUCACUACGCGAGAUCACUUCUCUUACAUAAGUGAAAUAAGCAAAUACAGAAACACUGUCGGAUCUGGCAGAUCUACGACGAGAGCAAUGUGAAGCCAAGGAUUACUCGAGUAGGAAGGGCUAUCUUGGUCUGGUAGGACCGGCUGUCGACUAUAGUAAAAAAAAAAAACGAAGCGCGAGGAAAAUAUGUCGGCUAUUUUUCUUCAAUAGUCGUUGGGUUUUAGCUGGAGGUGUGUUUAGUUCGUUUGUGAUUCUGUGCGAAGGCCCGUAGAUCGAGUUAGCCUUAAGAAUAGACUUGACAGGUACUCUCUUGUUAUUACAAAGAGAGGGAGCGGUUAUUGCAAAAUGUCUAAAUAUAUAUACGAAGCUUUGGAAUGAAUAUUUACCUGUGCAAUUUACUCAUUUCUUAUGAAUAUUUUCGGCCAAGUAGCGCUUGAUUUUACAUUAAUUAGGCAGUUUAAUAAAGAAAAAAGUAUAGGGUACACGAAAGACGUUUAGGUUUAAUAGCGCAUAAUAUAUAUAUAUAUAUAUAUAAUAGUGCCUGACACAUAGGAUCGUCGAGCAUUAUUUUUUAGUUGUUAAAAAUCGAUUUGGCAGAGUUAUACAGUUUUUCCUUAAUCUCCCAUUCUACUUACUUAUCAAAACAGUCUAUGCUCUGUGAGAUUAGCCUUGUUUUGUAGGCCCCGAACUAUUUUGACGGGUGUUCUAUCCGCACAGAAGUGCGUGGUUCGUUCAAAAGAUGGAUGCCCUCGAAAAUUGCAAAAUUACCGCCUUGUGUGGCGAACAGCACCUGCCGUUUGGAUAGAAGCUGCACGAAAAUUAUUAGGGGCAGACAAUGGAACUAAGGAAGUAAGACAGGGGGAUAUGAAAUCUACGAUGGCGACCCACCCCCGCACACCAUAAAUAUCACCAGUAGAUGCAGCGAACACGGCAGCGUUCAUCGGUAACCCGAUGACCUUUUACUACGUUGAAGCUCAUCGAAGAAGAAACGCUCAGCGUGCUAUAUGACACUGUUAUACGACUCAUUAUAUAUUCGUUCGUUAUUUAAUUUUCCUUUUUAUCGAACACGUUACUAUCUAUGGGGGGUUUUCAUCCCACAUACUAGGUAAAACCGUAGAGUGUAUGAACUACAGAUAAUAAUGAUAAUUAAGCGUGUCACUGCGUUGUCCCGUGCCGUUCUGUUAGAAAGACAACUCAACUACGGCAUA